UUGGAGGGCAAGUCUGGUGCCAGCAGCCGCGGUAAUUCCAGCUCCAAUAGCGUAUAUUAAAGUUGCUGCAGUUAAAAAGCUCGUAGUUGAAUUUCGGGACCAUCAUGUCGGUCGUGCCUCGGUACGUACUGGUAUUGUUGGUUUCUCCCCUCUGACGAACCAUGAUGUCAUUUAUUUGGUGUUGUGGGGAAUCAGGACUGUUACUUUGAAAAAAUUAGAGUGUUUAAAGCAGGCUCACGCUUGAAUACAUUAGCAUGGAAUAAUGAAAUAGGACGUUUGAUUCUAUUUUGUUGGUUUCUAGGAUCGACGUAAUGAUUAAUAGGGAUAGUUGGGGGCAUUAGUAUUCAAUUGUCAGAGGUGAAAUUCUUGGAUUUAUUGAAGACUAACUACUGCGAAAGCAUUUGCCAAGGAUGUUUUCAUUAAUCAAGAACGAAAGUUAGGGGAUCGAAGACGAUCAGAUACCGUCGUAGUCUUAACCAUAAACUAUGCCGACUAGGGAUCGGAUGAUGUUAAUUUUUUAAUGACUCAUUCGGCGCCUUACGGGAAAC
rnacentral:rRNA from 1 species